rfam:Triticum aestivum genome assembly, contig: Triticum_aestivum_CS42_TGACv1_scaffold_513596_6BS
AUUGUACUCCCUCCGUCCGAAAAAAAUUAUUGACGAAAUGCAUAAAAAUGGAUGUAUCUAAAUUUAAAAUCCGUGUAGAUACAUCCAUUCCUCCGACAAGUAUUUUCGAACGGAGGGAGUACCAU